rnacentral:rRNA from 1 species
GACGAACGCUGGCGGCGUGCUUAACACAUGCAAGUCGAACGAAGUGGCGAACGGGUGAGUAACGCGUAAUUAACCUGCCCUUCAGAGGGGGACAACAGUUGGAAACGACUGCUAAUACCGCAUACUGAAGUAGGUGAUUGCGUCGGAUUAGCUAGUUGGAGGGGGAACGGCCGACCAAGGCGAUGAUCAGUAGCCGGUGUGGGAGGAUGAACGGCAACAUUGGGAUUGGGGAACGGCCCAGACUUCUACGGGGGGGAGCAGUGGGGGAUUUUCCGCAAUGGACGAAAGUCUGACGGAGCAACGCCGCGGGAGUGGUGACGGCUUUCGGGUUGGAAAGCUCUGUUAAUCGGGACGCGGUACCGGAAGAGAAAGCCACGGCUAACUACGUGCCAGCAGCCGCGGUAAUAC